UGAUCCUGGCUCAGGAUGAACGCUAGCGGCAGGCUUAACACAUGCAAGUCGAGGGGUAACAUUGUAGCUUGCUACAGAUGACGACCGGCGCACGGGUGCGUAACGCGUAUAGAACUUACCUUUUACAGAGGGAUAGCCUUUAGAAAUGAAGAUUAAUACCUCAUAGUAUUAUUGAUUGGCAUCAAUUAAUAAUUAAAGAUUUAUCGGUAAAAGAUGGCUAUGCGUCCUAUUAGCUAGAUGGUAAGGUAAUGGCUUACCAUGGCUACGAUAGGUAGGGGCCCUGAGAGGGGGAUCCCCCACACUGGUACUGAGACACGGACCAGACUCCUACGGGAGGCAGCAGUGAGGAAUAUUGGGCAAUGGAGGUAACUCUGACCCAGCCAUGCCGCGUGCAGGAAGACUGCCCUAUGGGUUGUAAACUGCUUUUAUACAGGAAGAAACACUCGUACGUGUACGAGCUUGACGGUACUGUAAGAAUAAGGACCGGCUAACUCCGUGCCAGCAGCCGCGGUAAUACGGAGGGUCCGAGCGUUAUCCGGAAUCAUUGGGUUUAAAGGGUCCGCAGGCGGUCAAUUAAGUCAGAGGUGAAAUCCCAUAGCUUAACUAUGGAACUGCCUUUGAUACUGGUUGACUUGAGUCAUAUGGAAGUAGAUAGAAUGUGUAGUGUAGCGGUGAAAUGCAUAGAUAUUACACAGAAUACCGAUUGCGAAGGCAGUCUACUACGUAUGUACUGACGCUCAUGGACGAAAGCGUGGGGAGCGAACAGGAUUAGAUACCCUGGUAGU
rnacentral:rRNA from 1 species